rnacentral:rRNA from 1 species
AGCGAACGCUGGCGGCAGGCUUAACACAUGCGAGUCGAGCGGGCACUUUCGGGUGUCAGCGGCGGACGGGUGAGUAACGCGUGGGAACGUGCCCUCUGGUUCGGAAUAACUCAGGGAAACUUGAGCUAAUACCGGCUACGCCCUUUUGGGGAAAGGCUUGCUGCCGGAGGAUCGGCCCGCGUCUGAUUAGCUAGUUGGUGAGGUAACGGCUCACCAAGGCGACGUUCAGUAGCUGGUCUGAGAGGAUGGUCAGCCACACUGGGACUGAGACACGGCCCAGACUCCUACGGGAGGCAGCAGUGGGGAAUAUUGGACAAUGGGCGCAAGCCUGAUCCAGCCAUGCCGCGUGAGUGAUGAAGGCCUUAGGGUUGUAAAGCUCUUUUAUCCGGGACGAUAAUGACGGUACCGGAGGAAUAAGCCCCGGCUAACUUCGUG